rnacentral:tmRNA from 1 species
GGGGGCGUCAGGGUUCGACGGGGUUACGGGCCAUCAAGGCUGCAAGCCGAGUUCUCCGCAAGCUCGUUAAAAAGGCGGGACACUUAAACAACAAGUGCGAAUAACGAUUUAGCUCUCGCCGCUUAAUGCGGUGACGCCGCCUGCGUCUCUCCGGCCGGACGCAUCGUGGCGCCGCCAGGCCGGAUAGGGAAGCCCGACGCCCGGUGGGGCCGACCGAAUCCUUUCCGGGAUAGGAUGCGCGGCAUCCCGCCUGCCGGAGGCCGCACAGCCGAAACUAAAUGACAGGCUAAGCUUGUAGACGCCGGGGUGGCAGUUUCUUCGGACGCGGGUUCAAAUCCCGCCGCCUCCAACU